UCAUGCUGCAGUGCUCCAUACCCCCAUUAUACUGCCAUGAUUAUGAUACUAAUUCAGUAAAAUGGCUUCACAGUGUAAUAAAAUCAACCCAGAGCAUGGAAGAUGAAAGGACUCCCUCUCCAUUCCCUCUCCAUUUGACCUGGCUGGCAGUGGAUGCUGUCCCAGACUCAGAGGACCUUUCCUCAAUUUGCGUGGUUGUGGUCUGAGUGCCUUGGCAGUGGGAAGCUCUGGUUACCCAAAAAGAAGGACCUAAGCUGCCUGGCUGAGGGGACAGGAGCAUGCGCCCAGGCCUUACCUAUGGGAAUGGAGAAGGCUUGGUGUGCUGCACAAGAAAAGUGGAUGCUCC